UGUCCUCCACUCAUCUUUCUCCCAGGUCCAGGAUGUCCUCCACUCAUCUUUCUCCCAGGUCCAGGAUGUCCUCCACUCAUCUUUCUCCCAGGUCCAGGAUGUCCUCCACUCAUCUUUCUCCCAGAUCCAGGAUGUCCUCCACUCAUCUUUCUCCCAGGUCCAGGAUGUCCUCCACUCAUCUUUCUCCCAGGUCCAGGAUGUCCUCCACUCAUCUUUCUCCCAGGUCCAGGAUGUCCUCCACUCAUCUUUCUCCCAGGUCCAGGAUGUCCUCCACUCAUCUUUCUCCCAGAUCCAGGAUGUCCUCCACUCAUCUUUCUCCCAGGUCCAGGAUGUCCUCCACUCAUCUUUCUCCCAGGUCCAGGAUGUCCUCCACUCAUCUUUCUCCCAGGUCCAGGAUGUCCUCCACUCAUCUUUCUCCCAGUCCCAGGAUGUCCUCCACUCAUCUUUCUCCCAGUCCCAGGAUGUCCUCCACUCAUCUUUCUCCCAGGUCCAGGAUGUCCUCCACUCAUCUUUGUCCCAGUCCCAGGAUGUCCUCC